GACGAACGCUGGCGGCGUGCUUUACACAUGCAAGUCGAACGAGAACCUUCCUUCGGGAAGCAGAGAGUGGCGAACGGGUGAGUAACACGUGGGCAACCUACCCCUCACACUGGGAUAACCUCGGGAAACCGGGGCUAAUACCAGAUACUCACGUCCUCAGGCAUCUGAGGACGUGGAAAGGAUUCUGGUGAGGGAUGGGCCCGCGGCCUAUCAGCUAGUUGGUGGGGUAAUGGCCUACCAAGGCGACGACGGGUAGCCGGCCUGAGAGGGCGACCGGCCACACUGGGACUGAGACACGGCCCAGACUCCUACGGGAGGCUGCAGGUGGGGAAUAUUGCGCAAUGGACGAAAGUCUGACGCAGCAACGCCGCGUGAGGGAUGAAGUACGUCGAGACGUAAACCUCUUUCAGCAGGGACGAAGCGAAAGUGACGGUACCUGCAGAAGAAGGACCGGCUAACUACGUG
rnacentral:rRNA from 1 species